rnacentral:rRNA from 1 species
CCCUACGGGAGGCAGCAGUGGGGAAUAUUGGACAAUGGGGGAAACCCUGAUCCAGCGACGCCGCGUGAGUGAAGAAGUAUUUCGGUAUGUAAAGCUCUAUCAGCAGGGAAGAAAAUGACGGUACCUGACUAAGAAGCCCCGGCUAACUACGUGCCAGCAGCCGCGGUAAUACGUAGGGGGCAAGCGUUAUCCGGAUUUACUGGGUGUAAAGGGAGCGUAGACGGCAUAGCAAGUCUGAUGUGAAAGAU